rnacentral:tRNA from 1 species
GCCGUCGUAGCUCAGUAGGUAGAGCGUGUGACUGUUAAUCACAAGGUCAUCGGUUCGAUCCCGAUCGACGGCGCCA